GGGUUGCUUGGGAAUGCAGCCCAAAAUUGGUGGUAGACUCCAUCUAAAGCUAAAUACUGGCACGAGACCGAUAGCGAACAAGUACCGUGAGGGAAAGAUGAAAAGAACUUUGAAAAGAGAGUUAAAAAGUGCGUGAAACCGUUAGAGGGGAAGCGGAUGAAGUUAGCAAUGCCCCCGCGAGACUCAGGUGGAUGGCAUACCUCUGGAUGCGACGCGUGGCUGACGGAUCCGAAUGGACUGUCGUUACGUGGCCGUUCCAGCCAGCCGCCGCACUUCUCGUGCUGGGGCGCGUCAACAACUGCUGGACGACAGGGGGGCUAGACGGCACUCGCAGCGAAAGGUAGGCGUCUUACUAUGACUCGGCUACUUUGCGGUGGUCGAGGAGAUGCUGUUAUAGACGCUGUUGUGUCCCAGCUCCAGUCUGGCAGAGGCUAGCUAGCGGUGUGUGCUCGCAACUUCGGUCGUGGGCUGGCAUCCUGCUGCGUGUUCUUGUAGUCGUCAGCUGUGCACUGCUUGCAGUUCACUUCAGACGGUGAAAAGGCGCGUGCAGUGUAUGCACACUAUGUGCACCAUGGUUGUUGGCGGCCAUAUGGCUUCUUCCGACCCGUCUUGAAACACGGACCAAGGAGUCUAACAUGUGCGCGAGUCUUGGGGUGACCGAAACCCAGAGGCACAAUGAAAGUGAAGGCCGCCGUGCAAGGGCACUGCUCUCGUGGCUGGUGUACUAGCCGGUGGCUUAGGUGAGAUCUCUGCUUGCCACCUCGUGGCUGGCAGUGGCGCAUCAUCGACCGACCUAUUCUACUCCUAGAAAGGU
rnacentral:rRNA from 1 species